rnacentral:sRNA from 1 species
AUGAAGCUUCUUUGUUGGCAAAAAUCAAUUCAUGGUUCUUAAAACAAACAUGGAGAGAAGUGUAAGAGGGUUGUAUUAAACAAAACCCUUUACACUCUCCCUCCAUUUUCAAAAACAGUUUGCUUUGUGCUUUAGCUAUUGGCUCCUCAUAUCACAAAGAGAUUAUAUGUUUUUUUUUCUGAGUAGCAGAAGCAAAUAAUUAAGCAUUUUUCUCCAAAGGAUCAGAAGUUUUUUGGUUAUAGCAUGGCAAACCGGCAAGUCACAAAAAGGCAAUGGAUUCCUUUUUGGGAUCUU